rnacentral:tRNA from 1 species
GCGGGGGUGCCCGAGUCUGGUCUAAGGGGCCGGACUUAAGAUCCGGUGACCGUAGGGUCUUCGAGGGUUCGAAGCCCUCCCCCCGCA